GACGAACGCUGGCGGCGUGCUUAACACAUGCAAGUCGAACGGAAAGGCCCUGCUUUUGUGGGGUGCUCGAGUGGCGAACGGGUGAGUAACACGUGAGUAACCUGCCCUUGACUUUGGGAUAACUUCAGGAAACUGGGGCUAAUACCGGAUAGGAGCUCCUGCUGCAUGGUGGGGGUUGGAAAGUUUCGGCGGUUGGGGAUGGACUCGCGGCUUAUCAGCUUGUUGGUGGGGUAGUGGCUUACCAAGGCUUUGACGGGUAGCCGGCCUGAGAGGGUGACCGGCCACAUUGGGACUGAGAUACGGCCCAGACUCCUACGGGAGGCAGCAGUGGGGAAUAUUGCACAAUGGGCGGAAGCCUGAUGCAGCAACGCCGCGUGCGGGAUGACGGCCUUCGGGUUGUAAACCGCUUUCGCCUGUGACGAAGCGUGAGUGACGGUAAUGGGUAAAGAAGCACCGGCUAACUACGUGCCAGCAGCCGCGGUGAUACGUAGGGUGCGAGCGUUGUCCGGAUUUAUUGGGCGUAAAGGGCUCGUAGGUGGUUGAUCGCGUCGGAAGUGUAAUCUUGGGGCUUAACCCUGAGCGUGCUUUCGAUACGGGUUGACUUGAGGAAGGUAGGGGAGAAUGGAAUUCCUGGUGGAGCGGUGGAAUGCGCAGAUAUCAGGAGGAACACCAGUGGCGAAGGCGGUUCUCUGGGCCUUUCCUGACGCUGAGGAGCGAAAGCGUGGGGAGCGAACAGGCUUAGAUACCCUGGUAGUCCACGCUGUAAACGGUGGGUACUAGGUGUGGGGUCCAUUCCACGGGUUCCGUGCCGUAGCUAACGCUUUAAGUACCCCGCCUGGGGAGUACGGCCGCAAGGCUAAAGCUCAAAGGAAUUGACGGGGCCCCGCACAAGCGGCGGAGCAUGCGGAUUAAUUCGAUGCAACGCGUAGAACCUUACCUGGGUUUGACAUGGAUCGGGAGUGCUCAGAGAUGGGUGUGCCUCUUUUGGGGUCGGUUCACAGGUGGUGCAUGGCUGUCGUCAGCUCGUGUCGUGAGAUGUUGGGUUAAGUCCCGCAACGAGCGCAACCCUUGUUCACUGUUGCCAGCACGUUAUGGUGGGGACUCAGUGGAGACCGCCGGGGUCAACUCGGAGGAAGGUGGGGAUGACGUCAAGUCAUCAUGCCCCUUAUGUCCAGGGCUUCACGCAUGCUACAAUGGCUGGUACAGAGAGUGGCGAGCCUGUGAGGGUGAGCGAAUCUCGGAAAGCCGGUCUCAGUUCGGAUUGGGGUCUGCAACUCGACCUCAUGAAGUCGGAGUCGCUAGUAAUCGCAGAUCAGCAACGCUGCGAUGAAUACGUUCCCGGG
rnacentral:rRNA from 1 species